GGUAAAUUGGUCUGGACUUUCCCCCAAAGGGGGUGAGGCAGGGCAGGGCAUACACGAGGCUCAGUGGAACAACACUUAUACCACCAGGAAGAUGUGUUCUGCGAAGGCAGAAGGUACCUACUGUGCCACUGAGAGCAGCAGAAACGAGAGAGAAAGAGAGAGAGACCAUGAGCAGUGGGAGAAAAGCCGAGGGAAGAGGAGAAGCGGACUCCCUGUUGAGCCCUAAGGAGCUGAAUCCCAGGAUCCUGGGAUCAUGACCUAAGCAGAAGACAGAUGCUUAACCAUCUGAACCACCCUGGUGCCCCCUCCAGAUUUAUUAUUUAAAAACAAAAAAACUGUAAUGGAAUAUGAAAUUUUAAAAAUAACAAGUUAAGUUUCCAUCCUCUCUCAUACAUACUGGAUUUUGCUUCUCCUUGGUAUGAUUUUUAACUACUCUACUU
rnacentral:lncRNA from 1 species